GAUUCAGACCAAACCAAGUUAGAAUGGACCGAACCAGAGGUCAUAACCAAUCAGGAGGAGAGAGAAAAUCUCAUCUUCCUCCCCAUUUUCCUUCUCACGUCGCCGACUUCACCUCCUCCUCCCCUUUCCAUUUUCCGGCCAAAAUGCCAUGGAAUCGAGCGAAUCAAGACUCUAAAAUCUUCUACUUGUCGCAAGGAAUUUGAUUCAAGCCUUGGUUUGCGCGAUUUGGGCUUGGAUCGAGAGGAAACGACGUUGAAACGUUCGACACCGUAUUCCGUUCGCCAGCGAGUUCUUGCCGUUUCCGGCCACCAUACACGCUGAGAAUGGGUCCAAUCAAUUCCUUAUUGCCUCGCAAGCAUUUCCCCUCUAUCGAAUGGAGGUUUCCUGUGGAGAAUGAUGAAGCCAACAUGAUCGGUGGCUCCUUUGGCGGCUGUCGAGGCUUGUUCCGGCCAAACGGACCACUGAAUUAACCAACGGACAUUAGCUUCGAGUUCCCCGUGAAAUUCGAGCAAGAGGUUGUAAGGUUUCUCAAAUCCGGUGAGGCUCUCCGUGGCGGCGGCAGUCCCGUGACCGGCCGGCAAGGCUCCGACGGGACCUUGAGAGGCAGAAUUUCAUCCUCCUGAUCGCGAUUCUGCAAUUGGUGAGCUCUAAGUUUCGAUAUUAUAUUUUCUUGCUAUAUUCAUUUAGAACCCGUUGGCUUGACUUGGUUAUAGAUUGUUUAAUUACAUAGAAUCAUAUUCAAUGAGCAUAGUUAGCGGUCGUUAAGUUUCGAUAUAUAUAAUUAUAGGAAACUUAAUCAAGAUAAUUGGGCACUGAACAAUCAUAUAAUGUGAAUUCUAAAAAUGAAAGUAAAACAUUAAAUUUUGAAUUCCUUAUUUUUAAAUUGGUAUUGAACUAUAAAUUGGGACCUUUUGUUGUGACAAAUAAUAUUAUAUUAUAUUCAUCAUUUAUAAGUGUAAAUAUAAAACAAUUAUAGGAUUUAAAUUACUUACCUUAAAACGCAGUAGAAGUCAACAAACUUGUUAGUAUAAGAGCCAUAGUGUAAUGAUGCAAUGGAACAACUAAUGGCAUAUUCCAAAACUGUGGUAUGGUGAUAAAGCGGCUGCUAGUAAAGUAAUUAAGCACGCAAAGUAUUAAGUGAAUUGGGUACAAAGGCGAUGAUGAUGCUUAUGCGGUAAAUGAAAUGUAUUUAUGUAUUUAUGUAAUUAAGUUGACAGAUGAUGAGAAAUGUAUUUAUGUGUGGUCAUUAUAAUUGUAUUUAGAAAAUGAAGUUGUAUGAAAUGGAUGAUGGGAAUUGACCGAUGAUUGCUUGCCCCAUGAAUGGAUUGUGUUGAAAUA